rnacentral:rRNA from 1 species
GGGAAUAUUGCACAAUGGGGGAAACCCUGAUGCAGCGACGCCGCGUGAAGGAAGAAGUAUUUCGGUAUGUAAACUUCUAUCAGCAGGGAAGAAAAUGACGGUACCUGACUAAGAAGCCCCGGCUAACUACGUGCCAGCAGCCGCGGUAAUACGUAGGGGGCAAGCGUUAUCCGGAUUUACUGGGUGUAAAGGGAGCGUAGACGGAAAGGCAAGUCAGAAGUGAAAGCCCAAGGCUCAACCAUGGGACUGCUUUUGAAACUGUCAAACUAGAGUACGGGAGAGGUAAGAGGAAUUCCUAGUGUAGCGGUGAAAUGCGUAGAUAUUAGGAGGAACACCAGUGGCGAAGGCGUCUUACUGGACCGAAACUGACGUUGAGGCUCGAAAGCGUGGGGAGCAAACAGG